rnacentral:rRNA from 1 species
AGUGAACGCUGGCGGUAGGCCUAACACAUGCAAGUCGAACGGCAGCACAGGAAGAGCUUGCCCUUACGGUUGGCGAGUGGCGGACGGGUGAGGAAUACAUCGGAAUCUACUUAUUCGGGGGGGACAACGGAGGGAAACUUACGCUAAUACCGCAUAUGACCUACGGGAGAAAGCAGGGGAUCAUCGGAGUUUUGGCGACUGAAUGAGACGAUGUCGGAUUAGCUUGUUGGCGUGGUAAAGGCACACCAAGGCAACGAUCCGUAGCGGGUCUGAGAGGAUGAUCAGCCACACUGGAACUGAGACACGGUCCAGACUCCUACGGGAGGCAGCAGUGGGGAAUCUUGGACAAUGGGCGCAAGCCUGAUCCAGCCAUGCCGCGUGGGUGAAGAAGGCCUUCGGGUUGUAAAGCCCUUUUGUUGGGGAAGAAAAACAGCAGGUUAAACCCCCGCUGUUCUGACGGUACCCAAAGAAUAAGCACCGGCUAACUUCGUG